GCGCCAACUUCCCGUGCUUAUAGGAGAGAGAGAGGGACCGGGCAGGCACCUCGUUAUGCGGUGGAGCGCACAGUCUACCCAGUGCGUGUGCAUAGCCCGGUGCCUCAUAUCAGCCGGGCUAGAGUGGGCAUCGAGCCAGGUGCCAUGAAGCCGGCUUUACGCAUCUGGUCUCCAGUGCGUCUCCUCGGGCCGGCGUACAUGGCACCAGCCUUACGUAUGGUGUCCCUGGUUCGCCAGCCCAGUGCGGGCUAUUCCACCUCGCCGCACUGGCCUGGCUACCGGGAGCAUUCAACCAGGUAAGGUUGGGCAGGCUUGGUGCUCAAGAGCUCCAGGCAGCCCCCCGCACCAGGCUGUCUCUCCGUCUUCUGCCUACAGGUGCUCCCGCCUGUCCAGCGCUGCCAGAGCCUUCCUUCUGUCCUGAGCCUCCAGAGUCUCCCGUCUGUCCUGAGCCGCCAGAGUCUCCCGUCUGUCCUGAGCCGUCAACCAGCCAGGAGCUGCUAGAGCCGUCAACCAGCCAGGAGCUGCCAGAGCCGUCAGCCAGCCAGGACCUGCCAGAGCCGUCAGCCAGCCAGGAGCUGCCAGAGCCGCCCUUCACUCCGGAGCUGCCAGAGUCUCCCGCCUGUCCGGCGCUGCCGGAGUCUCCCGCCUGUCCGGCGCUGCCGGAGUCUCCCGCCUGUCCGGCGCUGCCGGAAUCUCCCGUCCAUUCGGGACCCAUUUCUAGGGUCCCCAGUCCGAGGUCGGCGGCGAGGGUCGCCGUGUUUAGGAGGCCAUGGAGGCGGACAAUGAGGCGGAGAAAAACUGUGUUGAAGUUGGGAUCCACGUCCCGCGCCAGAGCCGCCACCGCGCACAGACGCCCACCCAGACCCUCCCCUAUAGGUUCAGGUUUUGCGGCCGGAGUCCCACUCCAAUUUGCAUACCGCCCAAACAGAUCCACAGAUGAUGCAAUCUCUAUUGCACUCCACACUGCCCUUUCCCACCUGGACAAAAGGAACACCUAUGUGAGAAUGCUGUUCAUUGACUUCAGCUCAGCGUUCAG
rnacentral:lncRNA from 13 species